GACGAACGCUGGCGGCGUGCCUAAUACAUGCAAGUCGAACGCUGAAGGAGGAGCUUGCUUCUCUGGAUGAGUUGCGAACGGGUGAGUAACGCGUAGGUAACCUGCCUGGUAGCGGGGGAUAACUAUUGGAAACGAUAGCUAAUACCGCAUAAGAGUAGAUGUUGCAUGACAUUUGCUUAAAAGGUGCAAUUGCAUCACUACCAGAUGGACCUGCGUUGUAUUAGCUAGUUGGUGGGGUAACGGCUCACCAAGGCGACGAUACAUAGCCGACCUGAGAGGGUGAUCGGCCACACUGGGACUGGGACGCGGCCCAGACUCCUACGGGAGGCAGCAGGAGGGAAUCUUCGGCAAUGGACGGAAGUCUGACCGAGCAACGCCGCGGGAGUGAAGAAGGUUUUCGGAUCGUAAAGCUCUGUUGUAAGAGAAGAACGAGUGUGAGAGUGGAAAGUUCACACUGUGACGGUAUCUUACCAGAAAGGGACGGCUAACUACGUG
rnacentral:rRNA from 1 species